AACGAACGCUGGCGGCAUGCCUAACACAUGCAAGUCGAACGAGACCAUCGGGACUAGUGGCGCACGGGUGCGUAACGCGUGGGAACCUGCCCUUAGGUUCGGAAUAACUCUCCGACAGGGGUGCCAAUACCGGAUAAUGUCUUCGGACCAAAGAUUUAUCGCCUUUGGAUGGGCCCGCGUUGGAUUAGCUAGUUGGUAGGGUAAAAGCUUACCAAGGCGACGAUCCAUAGCUGGUCAGAGAGGAUGAUCAGCCACACUGGGACUGAGACACGGCCCAGACUCCUACGGGAGGCAGCAAUGGGGGAUAUUGGAAAAUGGCCGGAAGCCUGAUGCAGCAAUGCCGCGUGAGUGAUGAAGGCAGUAAGGUUGUAAAGCUCUUUUACCCGGGAUGAUAAUGACAGUACCGGGAGAAUAAGCCCCGGCUAACUCCGUG
rnacentral:rRNA from 1 species